rnacentral:rRNA from 1 species
CCUACGGGUGGCUGCAGUGGGGAAUAUUGCACAAUGGGCGCAAGCCUGAUGCAGCCAUGCCGCGUGUGUGAAGAAGGCCUUCGGGUUGUAAAGCACUUUCAGCGGGGAGGAAGGCGGUGAGGUUAAUAACCUCAUCGAUUGACGUUACCCGCAGAAGAAGCACCGGCUAACUCCGUGCCAGCAGCCGCGGUAAUACGGAGGGUGCAAGCGUUAAUCGGAAUUACUGGGCGUAAAGCGCACGCAGGCGGUCUGUCAAGUCGGAUGUGAAAUCCCCGGGCUCAACCUGGGAACUGCAUUCGAAACUGGCAGGCUAGAGUCUUGUAGAGGGGGGUAGAAUUCCAGGUGUAGCGGUGAAAUGCGUAGAGAUCUGGAGGAAUACCGGUGGCGAAGGCGGCCCCCUGGACAAAGACUGACGCUCAGGUGCGAAAGCGUGGGGAGCAAACCGGAUUAGAUACCCCGGUAGUC